UCUGAGGAAGCUUAGAAUUGUAUCAGUCCUAUUCAUUGUCAGCUGAGUUCCAGAAAGGGGACAUUAAAAUGGAAUGGAAUUUCUGUUCAGUUGAAACUUAUGGGUAAACCACCUGUUACCAAGCUUCAAGGAACCCUCCCGAAUCUUGGCUGAGGGAACACUGAUGGUGAGUGAUCAGUGUCCCACAUACUCUCUUUUUGUUUUCUCUCACAAGCCUGGCUUAAGUUAUUUAUGCACAUGACUUAACAUUAAGAUGGUUUAUUCAUGAGAUUGCCUUAGGAGACAGGAGACAGACAACCUGCUUUUGUGAGGGUCUCUCUGGAGAUUGGCAGUUACACAAUGUAUUGUUACUCCGUCAGGCUCUAUGAGGACAAAACAUCACAAUGUAGAGGCCUCUGUUGAAAAUAAUGAUCUGUGCUGUGUAGGUCCCAAUUUGAGAAGCAUUUAUAUUGAUAAAGUUACUUGAAGAAAAAAAGUCCAGAUUCUUCAGCACCAGACAGGGCAGGUCUGUGUUAAGGAGGAGAGAUCAGUGUCUUUGUCUGUUGGAUCUUCAACAAGCCUGCAGGUAAUUUACCAUCCAGAAGGUAAUUUACCAUUGUUGGCUGUGGUUCUUCUCUGGAAGACAUCAGGAGCAACCAAAUGAAUCAUUCUGCCAUCUCUCAAUACCAUUCACUGUGGACAGGUGCUUGACCAGAGGCGGAGCAGUCUUGGAUCCUGUUCUGGGAGGUGUGGUUACUAAAGAACAUGAUUACCAAAUGGACCUUGUGAGAGAACUCCAUGGCAGAAAAUCUUGCUGACUACAUCAUAAGAAAAUUACUUUUUUCAGACUCAAAAUAAUCCUGUGACACGAGUUUUACUGCAUCCAUUUUACAGAUGUGGGAACUGAGGCUUGUGUGGUUACCUUGGCACAGUGCAUAGCUAACACAUAGCAGAGCCUGCCAGACAUGUGAACCCAAGUGAAUCAUCCCGGGGCCAGAAUCUCUAGACGCCUAGAUCAUCUCACAUGUGAGUGAAAGCCCAUCAGACUCCCAGAGACGUAAUACUGAGACAUCGGGAGGCCGUCUAUGGCAACUCCUGCAUUCCAGACUUCUCCUAAUGAAGGCUACAUGGGCGUCAUUGUGGAUUCUGCCGCCUCGGGUUUCUCUCAGUCCCCACUUAGCUGUGGGAGAGGAGGCAGGAGAGACAGGGUCUCCUGUGUGUGCCCAUCACCAGCACCAAGCCCUGCUUUUAAGGACUGUGGGUGAGAGCAGGCCUUCUUUGGGCAUAACGCCCCCAACAUCGCGAAGAUUAGGAGUAAUGCAGCAUAGGUCCUGAACAGGCAGCUGUCUGUAUGGCUCCCUCUGAGGGGGCUACAAAUUCCUCUCAAAAGGGAAAAGACACAAGUCUCCCACUUGGGUUAAAAUAUGUGAAUUUGUCUUCAGAA